GAUCAGGUAGGGAUACCCGCUGAACUUAAGCAUAUCAAUAAGCGGAGGAAAAGAAACCAACAGGGAUUACCUCAGUAACGGCGAGUGAAGCGGUAACAGCUCAAAUUUGAAAUCUGGCCGCAAGGUCCGAGUUGUAAUUUGUAGAGGAUGUUUCGAGCAUGGUCUGGCCUAAGUUCCUUGGAACAGGACGUCAUAGAGGGUGAGAAUCCCGUAUGCGGUCAGGUGCCUACGCUCAUGUGAAACUCCUUCGACGAGUCGAGUUGUUUGGGAAUGCAGCUCAAAAUGGGUGGUAAAUUUCAUCUAAAGCUAAAUAUUGGCCAGAGACCGAUAGCGCACAAGUAGAGUGAUCGAAAGAUGAAAAGCACUUUGGAAAGAGAGUUAAACAGUACGUGAAAUUGUUGAAAGGGAAGCGCUUGCAACCAGACUUGCGCGCGGCUGAUCAUCCGGGCUUCUGCCCGGUGCACUCGGUCGCGCUCAGGCCAGCA
rnacentral:rRNA from 1 species